CUUGACAGAAAUGGGAAAAUCACCGGACUAUGUGAGAGUUAUGCCCGGAAUGGAACAAAUUGCUAUGAGUCAUUAGGGAACCUGAAGGAUCAGGGCUUCUAACCAGGGAUCCUGACAGCUGUCUUUCCCAAAACUGUAAAAGGUGACAUGUUACUCCUUGAAGUACUCAUGGGGAUCAUGAGCAGAGGGAUCAUCUUGUGACUUACCGAGCUGACCAAUUGAGCUUAUGGUGAUCAGAGAAGAGGCUAUGCGUGACAGCUAGUUAAUCUGGCAGUGCAGGAACACACAUUUAAAACUGCAGGUUCUGCAUCAGCCUCAG